CCUUGUGCUCCUGGAGCGGCCGAUAUCUGAUUAGCUAGUUGGUGGGGUAAAGGCCCACCAAGGCAUCGAUCAGUAGCUGGUCUGAGAGGACGACCAGCCACACUGGAACUGAGACACGGUCCAGACUCCUACGGGAGGCAGCAGUGGGGAAUUUUGGACAAUGGGCGCAAGCCUGAUCCAGCAAUGCCGCGUGAGUGAAGAAGGCCUUCGGGUUGUAAAGCUCUUUUGUCAGGGAAGAAACGGUGGAGGCUAAUAUCCUUCGCUAAUGACGGUACCUGAAG
rnacentral:rRNA from 1 species